rnacentral:misc_RNA from 1 species
CAGAGUUCGUGCCCUCACGGGUAGAUCUCCCACCCUGUGUUAUUAUACCUUUGUUGCUUUGGCGGGCCGCCCUCGGCUACCGGCCCCGGCUGGUACGCGCCCGCCAGAGGACCAAACUCUGAAUGUUAGUGAUGUCUGAGUACUAUCUAAUAGUUA